rnacentral:piRNA from 1 species
GUGAAAUGAGGGAGUUUGACUA